AACGAACGCUGGCGGCAGGCCUAACACAUGCAAGUCGAGCGAGGACUUCGGUCCUAGCGGCGGACGGGUGAGUAACGCGUGGGAACGUGCCCUUUGCUUCGGAAUAGCCCUGGGAAACUGGGAGUAAUACCGGAUGAGCCCUUUGGGGGAAAGAUUUAUCGGCGAAGGAUCGGCCCGCGUUGGAUUAGGUAGUUGGUGGGGUAAUGGCCUACCAAGCCGACGAUCCAUAGCUGGGUUGAGAGGAUGAGCAGCCACACUGGGACUGAGACACGGCCCAGACUCCUACGGGAGGCAGCAGUGGGGAAUCUUAGACAAUGGGGGAAACCCUGAUCUAGCCAUGCCGCGUGAGCGAUGAAGGCCUUAGGGUUGUAAAGCUCUUUCAGCUGGGAAGAUAAUGACGGUACCAGCAGAAGAAGCCCCGGCUAACUCCGUG
rnacentral:rRNA from 1 species